rnacentral:rRNA from 1 species
ACUGGCCUACGGGACGCAGCAGUGGGAAUAUUGCACAAUGGGGGAAACCCUGAUGCAGCGAUGCCGCGUGGAGGAAGAAGGUUUUCGGAUUGUAAACUCCUUUUAUCAGGGACGAUAAUGACGGUACCUGAAGAAAAAGCUCCGGCUAACUACGUGCCAGCAGCCGCGGUAAUACGUAGGGAGCGAGCGUUGUCCGGAAUUACUGGGUGUAAAGGGAGCGUAGGCGGGACGGCAAGUCAGAUGUGAAAACCGAGGGCUCAACCUUCAGACUGCAUUUGAAAAUGCUGUUCUUGAGUGAAGUAGAG